UAUACAACUAAAAAAAGCUUGGCUACACUGGACAAUUAACUCUUGGCAGCUUCUAACCAGUAAGGCUUGCAGGGAGAAGAGUGUGAAGGCUGCUCUGGGGAGUGGAGGAGGCUGAGAAGAAGGCAAAGAGUUAUGGAGAAACAAGAUGUCACUGGUGCAGAAAAACAGGGAAGAGAGACAACAUGAUGGUGGUGCUGAGAAGAGCUGAAGAUAAUAGAGUCCAACUGAUGAUGACAAAGGGGCAUCUGGCCCCAGAGGCAAUAGAUCAUAUAGUACCCACUCCUUCAAAACGUUUUUGGCUGGGGCUGGUUUUGAACCCACCACCUCUGGUAUAUGGGGCUGGCGCCCUACUCCUUUGAGCCACAGGCACCGCCUUCCUCUGUGAUUUCUUAAGGGAACUUAUUUUGGAAGUGAAAUGACUGAGA